GGUUAUGCAUAUAUACAUGCAAGUUCUUUGGUUGAUGUCUUCCCACCUACCCAAUCUCUCAUGGACCAUUUUAAUUCCUCUGAAUGAAUGAGUGAGGCUUAGAUUUCCAAAACUUUUCAUGUUAUAAUUAUGUCUUCAUAAGCCUCUCUGAUUGACUUCAUAAUCUGGCUUUUUACUGACCUUGCUGCCUAUUCUUACCCAUGUUCCUUUCCUCAUUGUCUUCACCUUUACUGAAUCUGAGAACUCUCCUCAGAUGUGACUCAGGUUGACCACCUUCACUUGUGUGCCCUGCUCACCACCUUCUUCAAUCCUGUUGCUGAAAAGAUGAUCAGCAGACAUUAAUUUUCAGACGCCAGUCUACCUCGUUCAAGCCUGUAGCCAUUUCACACAGCCACUCAGAUGUUACAGUAUCAUGAAGGAAAAUGGUUGCCAGCAAGCAGUGUGGCCAGGUUAUCCAAGGAGACAACUGUCUCUGCUCCCCAGGGACCAGCUUCGGAAGCUUCCUUGUUGUCCAGAACUGCUUCACUGAUUCACUGUACAGGCUGGCCUUCCCUGCAGCAGUCAGCAUUUAAAAAUUUGUCUUCAGCCCUGCUUGUCAGCAGUCAGCUUCAGUUGGAAAAAGUAAUUUCAUUUUCAUAUUUGCUCAUUUCAUUCAUUCACUCAAUCAACAGACCAUCAAUCUCCUAUCAUAUGCCAAGAACUGUGUUUGGUUCUGGAGAUGAAAAAAUAAGAUAAUGGUUCCUUCUAGCACUUGAAGAGCUUACAAACUAGUGAUAGAGGAAGAUGUACCAAUAACUCAAUAAAAAUAAUGCUUUGA